GGGGAUUUAGCUCAGCGGCAUAAGCGCCUGCCUUGCAAGCAGGCAGUCGUGAGUUCGAUCCCUGGUACCCA
rfam:Cavia porcellus supercont2_82 genomic scaffold, whole genome shotgun sequence.